CUACAGUAGCAUCUGAAUCAGCUUUUUCUACUGGGGGAAGAAUCCUAGAUUCAUUUAGGAGUUCCUUAUCCCCGAGGAUGGUGGAGGCUUUGAUUUGUUCUAAAAAAUUGGUAUACUUGUGAGUCUGAAGAGCCUGUUGUGCUUCGACAAUACAUGGAUGAGAUUGAUGGUUUAGAGGCAUGUGAACAAGUUUUUCCAGGUGAUGGCUCGUGUAUUACCUAUGUACCUGAGAAUCUUGGCAGUGGGUCUGGGAGUGGGAGUGGGACCGAUAAGAACAAUUGAAAUCUCAAGGAGCAGGUGGUCAUGGUUGCUUGAUGCAGGCCAUGAAAUGAAUGAAUGCUGGAUUUUGGAUUGGACUUUGUUUUCUAUCUAUUCUUUUGAAAUUUGAACUUGAUUUGUGUUGUUGUAGUCGAUUAGACUUAGAUUUAAUUUGUGUUAUAAUGGACUAUGGACUA